ACUAUAUACCUGCAAAUCCGUCGAAAGGCGCGAGACGCAAAGCUAUAGGGACUACUUCUCACGGGGAAAUGUCAGCCAGUUGCACAG
rnacentral:ncRNA from 1 species